CUCUACCUUGCAGAUUUGGCCGCCCGUCCCAAGCGCUGGACAACAAAAAUAGGGAGAUGGAACAAAAUUUGGCCUAUAGAAAAGAAAGAUAAUGUGGAAAUUAAAUCAUUAAGUUCACUUAAGCAAAUCCUUCGACACCAAGGAGAAUGGUCCGGCAGCAGCUCAGUCCAUGCUUCAACCGCCCCCCUCCAUACCCUCCAGCCCCAGCCCACUUCCCUAAGGUUCCUUGUGGGAUUCCUCAGCAACACCAAUGCACUGACCAUCACUCUAUGUUCUCCUAGGUUCUGAUGAAGAUCUGCAGGGGCCUGCACAUGGUGGUGUGGAGAAUAUGAAAUCAGAACUUAGAAAGUCGAACGCCCAGUCUCACCUCUGUUUGGCUAUCCGUCCCAAGCACUGGACCACAAAAAUAUGGAGAUGGACCAAAAUUUGUCGUGCAGGAAAUAAAGGUAGUGUGGAAAUUAAAUCAUUAAGUUCACUUAACCAAAUAAUCCCAGUUUAGUGGGUGGGUGCCCUGAGCUUCUUGGAGCCCCUGAUGUAAACAGGGAUAAAGGACAUAUGAGAUUAGUCUGGAAUCUGAGGCAGGGCGUGAUGAGGAGGCUGUGAGUUUGGGGUAGGGAGGGAAAAAAGGGCCUGGCUGAAAGGAAGGCAGGGUCCUGGGCUUUCUACAGUCCAGCCUGGGAAGGACAGAGCCCAGGGAGGCCCAGAGCUCCCUCCUGACACCUGCACAUAGAAGUGUAGUCUGGCCAGACAGUGCUCUGUAGACUGCUGUGGGGUUGGGGAGUGGCUUCUCCUAGGUACAGAACCUCAGGCACCUGCAGGAUGCAGGGCUCCAGGGUCCCCCGGAUGCCUGUUGAUGGCUCUCCUCUGAGGGGGUGUAAAUUGGCUCGCUGGGCACCCACAAUGGGCAAGGCACUUGCUCUCAGUAUAAUGCACUAAACACUGACAAAUCCACACCCAUUUAAGAUAGGCACAAUUACAAUUACUAUCCCCAUUUUAGAGCUAGGGAAACUGAGACACUGAGCAGUUAACUUGUCCAGGCUCCAUAGAUAAACAGUCAGGGUAGAGCUGGGGUCUCAACACAAGCAGGCUCCCUCCGGAGUGUGAGCUCCUAGCUACUGGUUGUCCCACUGCCCUUGUCCAGCCUUGGCUGUCUGGGGUGGCAGUUAUGCCUUUGGGCUGCAGUUGAACGACCAGUUGCCUUUUCCA